rnacentral:lncRNA from 10 species
GAUGGCUGUGGAGAUCCAGGGAGGCAGUGGCCAUAGAGAUGCUGUAUUAACUGCAGAUGCAGCCGUGGGAGCACUUUGCUAACUGCCAACAAUCAUUAUCGGUGUUCCCUGAGGAGCGUCAGCCAUGGGGUCGCCUGUGCUAUUCAGCCAAGGAGACCACAGUGCCUGCUGGCCCAGCCGAGCUCCGCCUAGCGAGCUCACCUGCCUGUCCUGCCACGGACUUCUUCCUCUUCUGCUUUUUCUGAGCAGGAUGGGCCCAGCCUCACCUAUGCAANNNNNNNNNNNNNNNNNNNNNNNNNGAACUGUGGGUGGACUGCCUGGGUGCCAUGAGAGAGGUCAGUGUGUGUGGGGUGGGGAGGGCCGCCACAGCCCCCGGGCACUACCUAUGAAGCUCUGGCUUCUCCCUCCAUCUUCCUCCCCUUUCCCUUCCAGCCUCUCUUUUCCAGGAACCUUGCCAUGCCCACACUUACACCCUCCCCUUUCCAGCCCUCUCACAGCUGCUAUGGUGCACCCAUGCUCUGCCCUUGCCUCACCAGCUCUGGCUUUUCUCUAA